GCCAAUUAAUCAAAGUGGCAUUUCUGAAGAUGACCAGCACAAGUUGAGAAAAAUUCAAGAACUCACUUUUAUUCUCAAGGAAACAGACAAAAAUUUGACAGCUUGUGAAGAUAUCCUAAAAACUUACAUUGAAAAUCGAUUGAGGG